AAUGUUUCUGAUAUCUUGCUCAAAAAAUGGGGAUCUAAUAUCUUAUUUGUGAGGUUGGGAUCGACACCUGUAAUGGGAAAGGAAUUAUGCAUUUUACAAGGAAAAUGAACUGAUAAAUAAUAGUGCAUUUGUCUCAGAAUCAACCCCAACCCAUCAAAAGAAAAAUAGAAUUCUUUGAAUGUAAAAUUUCCAUAUAUACAGAUACCAGAUUUAUAAAUGAUAUCACAAGUAUAAUUAAGAUCAUGUCAGCCAUACCUUGUUAAGGGUAAAGGGUAGUCAGGUGCUAUAUGAUCUAGAAGACUUCCCAAUCGAGAAUUUCACUUAUGUUGGAUGAUAUAAGACUUCUGUAAGGUUUUUAUUUUCAUAAUAGACGAUAAGAAGUAAGUUAAAUGAAGCUCUAAAAAUUUAUAAUUGAGAGCAAUAUUUCACAGUUGAUUCAUGAAGAGCUAAUUGCCAGCAUUGGUUUAAAGGUCUUUCUAAGAGCUAAUUGCCUCUAAAAUACAAGAUUAUUUAUUUAAAAAGAAGAAGAGAAUUGUACACAAUCAUUUACUAUGAAAGAUGACUCAAAACAUAGCAGUAAUCUAUGCAACUGAGUUUUAACUAAUAAGUAUACAAAUAGUUACUAAGAUGCAAUAUUUCCAGAAAUACCAUUUCAAACUUUUAACAGGAGUUGAUAAAUAAUUUCAUUUACCAACUGUAAGCAGAUCUCAGCACCAUAGUAGCUCACCUGCACCUAAGUUGUAUAUAU
rnacentral:misc_RNA from 1 species